rnacentral:rRNA from 1 species
CAGUCGCCGCGGUAAUACGAAGGGGGCUAGCGUUGCUCGGAAUCACUGGGCGUAAAGGGUGCGUAGGCGGGUCUUUAAGUCAGGGGCGAAAUCCUGGAGCUCAACUCCAGAACUGCCUUUGAUACUGAAGAUCUUGAGUUCGGGAGAGGUGAGUGGAACUGCGAGUGUAGAGGUGAAAUUCGUAGAUAUCCGCAAGAACACCAGUGGCGAAGGCGGCUCACUGGCCCGAUACUGACGCUGAGGCACGAAAGCGUGGGGAGCAAACAGGAUUAGAUACCCCGGUAGUCCCUGUCUCUUAUAC